AGUGAACGCUGGCGGUAGGCCUAACACAUGCAAGUCGAACGGCAGCACAGUAAGAGCUUGCUCUUACGGGUGGCGAGUGGCGGACGGGUGAGGAAUACAUCGGAAUCUACUUUUUCGUGGGGGAUAACGUAGGGAAACUUACGCUAAUACCGCAUACGACCUACGGGUGAAAGCAGGGGAUCUUCGGACCUUUCCCGAUUCAAUGAGCCGAUGUCGGAUUAGCUAGUUGGCGGGGUAAAGGCACACCAAGGCGACGAUCCGUAGCUGGUCUGAGAGGAUGAUCAGCCACACUGGAACUGAGACACGGUCCAGACUCCUACGGGAGGCAGCAGUGGGGAAUAUUGGGCAAUGGGCGCAAGCCUGAUCCAGCCAUACCGCGUGGGUGAAGAAGGCCUUCGGGUUGUAAAGCCCUUUUGUUGGGAAAGAAAAGCAGCAGGUUAAUACCCCGCUGUUCUGACGGUACCCAAAGAAUAAGCACCGGCUAACUUCGUG
rnacentral:rRNA from 1 species